rnacentral:rRNA from 1 species
UACAGAGACUGCGAGCGUUAUUCGGAUUCACUGGGCGUAAAGGGUGCGCAGGCGGCCGUGUGUGUGAGGCGUGAAAGCCCGGGGCUUAACCCCGGAAGUGCAUUGGAUACUGGGAAGCUAGAGGGUGUAAGAGGAGAGUGGAAUUCAUGGUGUAGGGGUGAAAUCCGUAGAUAUCAUGAGGAACAUCAGUGGCGAAGGCGGCUCUCUGGUACACUUCUGACGCUCAGACGCGAAAGCAUGGGGAGCAAACAGG